GACGAACGCUGGCGGCGUGCUUAACACAUGCAAGUCGAGCGAGAAAGCUCCUUCGGGAGCGAGUACAGCGGCGAACGGGUGAGUAACACGUGGGCAACCUGCCCAAGGGAGCGGGACAACCCGGGGAAACUCGGGCUAAUACCGCAUGAUGCGUCAUGUCUCAAGGCGUGACGCCAAAAGGUAGCCUCGGCCUCCGCCCUUGGAUGGGCCCGCGGCGCAUUAGCUUGGUUGGUGGGGAACGGCUCACCAAGGCGACGAUGCGUAGCUGGUCUGAGAGGACGAUCAGCCACACUGGGACUGAGACACGGCCCAGACUCC
rnacentral:rRNA from 1 species